AGCAUCUAAGAGGGAAGCCAGCUUCAAGAUUAGGAAUCGUUAAGAACCCUGAGAGAUGAUCAGGUCGAUAGGCUUUAAGUGUAAGCACAGCAAUGUGUUGAGCUGAGAAGUACUAAUGUUUCGAU
rnacentral:rRNA from 1 species